CGAGGGUGUAGUACAGAGUGUAGUACUGGCUGGGAAUAUCUGCUGUGGCCCGCAUUCUCGCUGAUGCCUGGAUUUAGUACUCAUUAUUCGGGACGUAGAGGCCGGAGGUUCGAAUCCUCUCACCCCGACCA
rnacentral:tRNA from 1 species